rnacentral:rRNA from 1 species
UACCAGCUCUCCGAGUGGUGUGGAUGUUUAUUGGGCCUAAAGCAUCCGUAGCUGGCUGGACAAGUCCCCUGUUAAAUCCACCGAUUUAAUCGUUGGUGUGCGGGGGAUACUGUUCGGCUAGGGGACGGGAGAGGCCGACGGUAUUUCCGGGGUAGGGGUGAAAUCCUAUAAUCCCGGGAAGACCACCAGUGGCGAAGGCUGUCGGCUAGAACGCGCCCGACGGUGAGGGAUGAAAGCUGGGGGAGCGAACCGGAUUAGAUACCCGGGUAGUCCCAGCUGUAAACGAUGCAGGCUAGGUGUUUGGGCGGCCACGUGCCGCUCUAGUGCCGCAAGGAAGCUGUUAAGCCUGCCGCCUGGGGAGUACGGCCGCAAGGCUGAAACUUAAAGGAAUUGGCGGGGAGCGCCACAAGGGGUGAAGCUUGCGGUUU